rnacentral:tRNA from 1 species
GAAUAAAAGUCAAAAAGAGACAAAUUAUUGUUAAUAAUUUUAAUGAAAGUAAUCUUAUUCAAG